GUCCCCUGCCCACAGUGAGCUUAUGGUCCAGAGGAUUUAUUUUAAUGUCUGUUUUCCCCUCUAGACUGUAAGCUCCUUGUAGGCAGGCAUC
rnacentral:pre_miRNA from 1 species